UAAGUCUUUUAUUUCAUGUUUAUCAUUCACACUUCAUUUUUUUGUAAAGAUUUGAUCAUAAGCAUUUUGAUCUUAAUUUGAUCUUAGACCUUCGAGCUUGCAAAACACAGCCCAAACUUGCCAGGAAAUGAAAGCAUGCAGGAUAUGAUCCAUUGAGAUUCUGGAUAUCACUGUUUCAGGUUUUAUAAUUUGAAAUGUUACCAUGCUCUGCAGUGCUUGAAUUUUGCCAAGGCCUUGUACAGCUGCAUAAAUGUGAGUGAAGUAACCAGGAGUUUUGCUUGGAAAAUCUGAUUAUGCUGCAAGAGCAAAAUGUUCCAGCUCAUGAGGACGAAAGACUGGCGGUGCCCCUCCUUUAAGUGAAUAAUGAGUUUGCACAGAAAAAUAGAGGCUAAGGAAAAUAUAUACUAAAUACAUCUUCAUCUACUCUAUCUCAUAGAUUCUGUUCUUCUGACUUCUCAUACCUUCCUGGUAUGCUACUAAGUGCCCUAUAUGCAAACAAUGACAAUAAAAAUAUGAACAUUUA